rnacentral:rRNA from 1 species
ACGCUCGACACUACGGGAGCAGCAGUGGGGAAUAUUGGGCAAUGGGCGAAAGCCUGACCCAGCAACGCCGCGUGAGGGAAGAAGGUUUUCGGAUUGUAAACCUCUGUCCUCAGGGACGAAGGACGUGACGGUACCUGAGGAGGAAGCCCCGGCUAACUACGUGCCAUCAGCCGCGGUAAUCUGAGCGGGCUGGCAAGGC